rnacentral:rRNA from 1 species
GAUGAACGCUAGCGGCAGGCUUAACACAUGCAAGUCGAGGGGUAUAGUUCUUCGGAGCUAGAGACCGGCGCACGGGUGCGUAACGCGUAUGCAAUCUACCUUUUGCAGAGGGAUAGCCCAGAGAAAUUUGGAUUAAUACCUCAUGGUAUGUGAGAAUGGCAUCAUUUUCACAUUAAAGUCACAACGGCAAAAGAUGAGCAUGCGUCCCAUUAGCUAGUUGGUAAGGUAACGGCUUACCAAGGCAACGAUGGGUAGGGGUCCUGAGAGGGAGAUCCCCCACACUGGUACUGAGACACGGACCAGACUCCUACGGGAGGCAGCAGUGAGGAAUAUUGGACAAUGGGCGCAAGCCUGAUCCAGCCAUGCCGCGUGCAGGAUGACGGUCCUAUGGAUUGUAAACUGCUUUUGUACGGGAAGAAACACUGAUUCGUGAAUCAGCCUGACGGUACCGUAAGAAUAAGGAUCGGCUAACUCCGUGCCAGCCGCCGCAGUAAAAC